UGGUUCUGGCAUCGAUGAAGAACGCAGCGAAAUGCGAUAAGUAAUGCGAAUUGCAGAAUUUCCGUGAGUCAUCGAAUCUUUGAACGCAUAUUGCGCCCUUUGGUAUUCCGAAGGGCAUGCCUGUCCGAGCGUCAUUAUCAACCCUCAAGCCUGGCUUGUUGUUGGACCCCGUCGUUACAGACAGGUCCCAAAGACAAUGGCGGUGCCGGCUGGUCCUGACAUGCAACGAGCUUCACAGCACGCAUGGCAGCGACGGCCGACCCGAUCUUUUAGUACAUCUUAAAAGGUUGACCUCGGAUCAGGUAGGAAUACCCGCUGA
rnacentral:misc_RNA from 1 species